AUUUGUUUUUCCGCGUGUUCGCACACGUUCACGGCAGCAAGAACAACAACGUGCGGUGUUGUGAGCUUGCCGCAAAAAUCAAAUAAAAAGUCCAACCACAAAAAUCCACAAAUAUAUGUAUUAAAAGUGGCAACAAUAAUGUCGGCAAAAUGCAGUGCGUGAAGCAAGAAAAACAAACAAAUAUACAGCAGCAACUCAAGGAAAAGCCACUGGGAAAAGUACUUUGGACAAGUGAAAAAUCCCUCGAUUUAUAAAUCGCCAAUAAAAAAAAAAAAGGAAAACACGAGAACGACACGCUGAGAAAAUUGCUGGAAAACCGGACAAAAUGUUUGGCAGCCAGCUUGGCUGCCUUUGAGGCUAAGUGGAGUGGCUCAAGACACGCUCUGAAAUAGAACGACGCCCCACAAAGAAGACCCUUUUUUAAGACAAAAAGUAAAAAAGAAAAAAACUAUCGCAUUAUUACAAAAUUCUUCUAUAUAUAUUUGAAAUAUUUUAAAAUUUAAAUAACUUAAUUCAUAAUAAACUAAUUGAUACUUAAUUAAAUAAUAGUAAACAAAGCUCAAAUAGACUGAAAUAGAGUCCAAAUAUAUUACGAAAGUAAAAUGCAAUUAAUUCAACAUAUCAUAUAAAUUAAUUAGAACAAAUUGCAUUUAAGUUAUUAACAAAGAAAA